rnacentral:rRNA from 1 species
UACGGGGGGAGCAAGCGUUGUUCGGAUUUACUGGGCGUAAAGGGCGCGUAGGCGGCCAGCACAAGUCAGUUGUGAAAUCUCCGAGCUUAACUCGGAAAGGUCAACUGAUACUGUGCGGCUAGAGUGCAGAAGGGGCAACUGGAAUUCUCGGUGUAGCGGUGAAAUGCGUAGAUAUCGGGAAGAACACCCGUGGCGAAGGCGGUUCUCUGGGACGGUACUGACGCUGAGACGCGAAAGCGUGGGGAGCGAACAGG